UCAAACUUGGUCAUUUAGAGGAAGUAAAAGUCGUAACAAGGUCAUCGUAGGUGAACCUGCGGUGGGAUCAUCACCAAAACAAAUACACUGGUUAUGGCGGAGAUGUAAAAGUUUCCGCUUGGCCAACAUUGUGUGAACGAGUGGAGGGAGAGAAAGCCAAGCUUGAUCUCCUGACAAUUUCAAUGCGGGAAGAGGAGGAGGCAGGCAAUAGCCUGCUCUCGGGCACCCGCAUUCAUUACAUACUAAACACUACUACUUUAUACCAAGCUUAUUUUGUUGUAGCUACCUAACCGUAGCGAAAAUUAAUAUGAAACACAACUAUUAAUGGUGGAUCACUUGGCUCUUGCAUCGAUGAAGAACGCAGC
rnacentral:misc_RNA from 1 species